rnacentral:rRNA from 1 species
GGGACACGUGGUAUCCUGUCUGAAUAUGGGGGGACCAUCCUCCAAGGCUAAAUACUCCUGACUGACCGAUAGUGAACCAGUACCGUGAGGGAAAGGCGAAAAGAACCCCGGCGAGGGGAGUGAAAAAGAACCUGAAACCGUGUACGUACAAGCAGUGGGAGCACGCUUAGGCGUGUGACUGCGUACCUUUUGUAUAAUGGGUCAGCGACUUAUAUUCUGUAGCAAGGUUAACCGAAUAGGGGAGCCGAAGGGAAACCGAGUCUUAACUGGGCGUUAAGUUGCAGGGUAUAGACCCGAAACCCGGUGAUCUAGCCAUGGGCAGGUUGAAGGUUGGGUAACACUAACUGGAGGACCGAACCGACUAAUGUUGAAAAAUUAGCGGAUGACUUGUGGCUGGGGGUGAAAGGCCAAUCAAACCGGGAGAUAGCUGGUUCUCCCCGAAAGCUAUUUAGGUAGCGCCUCGUGAAUUCAUCUCCGGGGGUAGAGCACUGUUUCGGCAAGGGGGUCAUCCCGACUUACCAACCCGAUGCAAACUGCGAAUACCGGAGAAUGUUAUCACGGGAGACACACGGCGGGUGCUAACGUCCGUCGUGAAGAGGGAAACAACCCAGACCGCCAGCUAAGGUCCCAAAGUCAUGGUUAAGUGGGAAACGAUGUGGGAAGGCCCAGACAGCCAGGAUGUUGGCUUAGAAGCAGCCAUCAUUUAAAGAAAGCGUAAUAGCUCACUGGUCGAGUCGGCCUGCGCGGAAGAUGUAACGGGGCUAAACCAUGCACCGAAGCUGCGGCAGCGACGCUUAUGCGUUGUUGGGUAGGGGAGCGUUCUGUAAGCCUGUGAAGGUGUGCUGUGAGGCAUGCUGGAGGUAUCAGAAGUGCGAAUGCUGACAUAAGUAACGAUAAAGCGGGUGAAAAGCCCGCUCGCCGGAAGACCAAGGGUUCCUGUCCAACGUUAAUCGGGGCAGGGUGAGUCGACCCCUAAGGCGAGGCCGAAAGGCGUAGUCGAUGGGAAACAGGUUAAUAUUCCUGUACUUGGUGUUACUGCGAAGGGGGGACGGAGAAGGCUAUGUUGGCCGGGCGACGGUUGUCCCGGUUUAAGCGUGUAGGCUGGUUUUCCAGGCAAAUCCGGAAAAUCAAGGCUGAGGCGUGAUGACGAGGCACUACGGUGCUGAAG